UACGUAGGGGGCAAGCGUUGUCCGGAUUUAUUGGGCGUAAAGAGCGUGUAGGCGGCCUGGUAGGUCAGCUGUGAAAACUCGAGGCUCAACCUCGAGACGCCGGUUGAAACCAUCAGGCUAGAGUCCGGAAGGGGCGAGUGGAAUUCCUGGUGUAGCGGUGAAAUGCGCAGAUAUCAGGAAGAACACCCGUGGCUAAGGCGGUUCUCUGGGCCGAUACUGACGCUGAGGAGCGAAAGCGUGGGGAGCGAACAGG
rnacentral:rRNA from 1 species